UAUGGGAGCACCGCACAUCACAUCCUACGUACACAAAACUCAUUGCAUCAUUGGGCUGUAGCUUGCAGGCGAAGCAGCGGCCUUGCAGCAAGCAAUGCUAUCAGUUUUGAUGUUCCUGAACUCCCGCGGAGACGUGGUGCUCUCGCGGACGUUUCGGGCUGGAAACUCUGUGCGGUCGCUAGCCGAAACCUUCUGCAGUGAGAUCAUCUCUACAAAGCAGGUUGACCGUUGCCCUGUCAACAUUGUGAAACGCAUGUGCUUCAUUCAUCUUAAGCUGACGGAGCUGUACGUCGUGAUGGUGUCCGACUCAAAUGUCAACUGCCUCAUGUGUCUCCAGUACGGUGCACGGCUGCUGCAGCACAUCCAAAAUGACUACGAGGGCUUGGACGAAAAGCGGAUCAAGGAGAACUUUGUUGCUCUGCAGGGCAUCAUCGAUGAGUCGAUGGACUUCGGAUACCCCAUCCUGACGGACGCAGAGGCAAUGAAGGAAUUUAUCACGAAAGACGGCGUGGAUGCUGCCGUUCUGAAGAGCACUCGCGAAUCGGAGCGCAUCGCCGAUAGGAUGACCGGCGAAACGCCGUGGCGGGUGGAGGGUCUUGCGUUCCGUGUGAACGAAGUGUUCGUUGACGUUUUUGAAGAUGUGAAUCUGCUGCUCUCCCAAACAGGAGAGACGCUGCAGAGCAGCGUGUUAGGGCGCGUGGUGAUGAACAACUUCCUCUCCGGGAUGCCGGAGUGCCAGCUGAACUGGAACGCGAAAGUGAUGAGUCACGGUAUCGACGAGGCGGUCGAGAGCCAUGGUGCCGGUGGUACAGGAGAGGUGGUUCCCUUGUCAAGCAUCUCCUUUCACAACUGCGUCCGCCUCAAAGCUUCUGGUGAAGAGCGACGGCUCACCUUUGUGCCGCCGGAUGGAAAGUUCACCCUCAUGACGUACCGCUCCAAUGUGAACGUGCAGCCACCGAUGAAGGUGCUGUCGGCCAAGGCACGAGAGAUCUCGAAGACACGCACGGAGGUCGAGUUCACACUACGCUCAGACACCUCAGCUGGUCGGGCCGCCAAAGACGUCCAGGUGAGCGUCGCCUGUCCGGACAAUACAGCUACUGCUGAAGUGAAGGUGGGGCGUGGCAAGGCUAAUUAUGACCCCGUAAGCCACGCCAUCGUUUGGAAGCUGCCGGAGGUGAAGAGUGGGGAGGAAAUCACUUUCUUCGCAGGGAUCCGCCAGAUUGCCCCGACGGAGAACACGGAGUUGCUGUGGACGAAGCCGCCUAUCCGCAUCGCGUUCCAGUGUGUGUCCCUGUCGCUUACAGGCUUGCGCAUCAAUGAGCUGGUCGUCAAGGAGCCAACGUUGAUGUACACGGCAAGCAAAUGGAUUCGCUACACCGUCAUGGCGGGUGAUUAUCAGUGCCGCAUAUAGCGCACGCUGUGUGUGCCGCCGUGUGUGUAGAACCGCACCCGCUGCUCCCCCAUUCAACUCACCAUCCGCUCUACAUGUGGCGUGCGUGUGGAUGCAUGUGUGCAUAGGUGCUCUUCUUCGAAUGCAGGCAUGGUGUGGAAACCCUAAAGAAGUGGAGGAGGGGGAGGGAGGAGCGGAAGCGAGGCACUGGCUUGCAACGGUGAUAAAAGAAACCGGUGAGGGAGAAGGGCGACUUCUCGGGCCUCAUCCACCUCCUCCCGUCAACGCGAUGGAGCGCUAAAUCCGCUUGACGGUCGUCAGCUGCCCUUUCGCUCUCCCAUUCAGCCGCCACAACUGCACACGCAUCCUGCCUCGUGUGUUCGCGACGCGCUUCAGUCCGCUUUGUUGCGCUGUUGUAACUCUCCUGUUCCGUGUUUCGCUUUCUUCGUCGUUCGUCGUGCCUUGGGCAUCCCCUAUCCACACAUCACACACACACAUACACGCGUAUAUGUUGCCGUUGCCACCCCACGUGGCAUAUGGGCAGCUGUGUGCACGUACGUAUGCGUGUGUGUGCUGUGUGUGGUAGGCCUUGGCUCUUUUCGUCUCUCUGUCCUCCCUUCUUGUUUGCGGCCCCUUGUGUUUCGUUGUUUGUUGCGUUGAUUUUAUGUUUGGUGCGCUU
rnacentral:misc_RNA from 1 species